GAUGAACGCUGACAGAAUGCUUAACACAUGCAAGUCGAUUCGAUUUACCUUCGGGUAUUGAGGAUGGCGGACGGGUGAGUAACGCGUAAGGAACUUGCCUCUUGGUCUGGGACAACUGUUGGAAACGACAGCUAAUACCGGAUAUUAUGAGAUUCUCGCAUGGGAAACUUAUGAAAGCUAUAUGCGCCAAGAGAGAGCCUUGCGUUCCAUUAGCUAGUUGGUGGGGUAACGGCCCACCAAGGCGACGAUGGAUAGCCGGCCUGAGAGGGUGAACGGCCACAAGGGGACUGAGACACGGCCCUUACUCCUACGGGAGGCAGCAGUGGGGAAUAUUGNANNNNGGGNNNNNAGCCUGAUCCAGCAAUUCUGUGUGCACGAUGAAGGUCUUCGGAUUGUAAAGUGCUUUCAGUUGGGAAGAAGAAAGUGACGGUACCAACAGAAGAAGCGACGGCUAAAUACGUGCCAGCAGCCGCGGUAAUACGUAUGUCGCAAGCGUUAUCCGGAUUUAUUGGGCGUAAAGCGCGUCUAGGCGGAAAAAUAANUCUGAUGUUAAAAUGCGGGGCUCAACUCCGUAUUGCGUUGGAAACUGNUUUUCUAGAGUACUGGAGA
rnacentral:rRNA from 1 species